ensembl:lncRNA
CCUAAUUAGCUCACGUCAUGUUUCACCUGGUUGUCUUAUGUGUUUGUACUAGCGGCGCCAUUUUUAAUUUUUAACCAUGUGCACCAGAAUCUGGCGAAUCAACCCAUUGCGAUAUAUGCAUUACUAUAAUCCGGUCUUUUGUUAGAGAUAGAGUUCCGAAAGAACACACAUUUGUUAGUAAAUAUCGAAUUGUACGGGGGAAGUGCAUGGUCAGCAUUUAAAAAAAAAAAAUAGACAAAUCAGUCCGGAGUCGUCAGUGGUGUUGGUUUUGUCACAAACAAACGCUAUGACCAAAUGGUUUGAGUUGCAAAGUCUUAAGUCACUCUGUUGGAAUCUGGAGAGUAACACGUGGAUGUGUUUAAUUUUGCAGUAGAAAGCUAAACAAACACAAGCCAUACUAUCCACCAAAAGACUCCGGAACGAGGUGGCUGUUUGACGCGGACAAGGUUAAACAAUGCAAAAGACUGGUGGAGGUGAAUAAUGGCUUGUCUUGAAAAUUUACUCAAUGGUCCUUCAAGAACAACUCAUGGAAAUGUGGCAUUCUGGGACAGUAAAAAUCAAAGAAGGCCAAGAUGUCAUUGGGCAGCCUCUUCAAGACAAACCACACCCACUUACCCUUCUCUGAUCCUCCAUAGAGGGCGUUGUGGUUUGCAACCUCUUGAUUAUGUGUAUGUUUUGUUACGAUUUAGCUAGUCUAGAUUGUAAGGGACAAGAGGCCAGCUGUGUUUAUAACCACUCUGGGAGUCGCACACUCUGCUAACCUCUGGAAUAUAUGUUUAUAUUGACCAUUCUGCUUGGGGGUAGAAUGUGGUAGAGUGAAUGUGUCAGAGAAUGUAAAUGCGUCAUUCUGGGUAGACAUCUAAUGUUGAGAUUGGUGUAUGGAACAUUCAUGAGGACAACUAUGCUACAAUUCCAAUAAAUACCGAAU